AUACUUACCUGGCGCGGGGAUACCGUGAUCAAGAAGGCGGUGCCUCCAGGACGAGGCCUGUACAUUGCACUCCGUAUGGGCUGACUCCUGCGACUACCCC
rnacentral:snRNA from 1 species